UACGGAGGGUGCAAGCGUUAUCCGGAAUCACUGGGUUUAAAGGGUGCGUAGGCGGGACAUUAAGUCUAAGGUGAAAGUUUGUCGCUUAACGAUAAAAUUGCCUUGGAUACUGGUGUUCUUGAAUUAGAUUGAGGAUAGCGGAAUGUGGCAUGUAGCGGUGAAAUGCAUAGAUAUGCCAUAGAACACCAAUUGCGAAGGCAGCUAUCUGGGUCUGGAUUGACGCUGAGGCACGAAAGCGUGGGGAGCGAACAGGAUUAGAUACCCUGGUAGUCCACGCCCUAAACGAUGCUAACUCGAUGUUUGGAUUAGGUUCUGAGCAUCCAAGCGAAAGCGUUAAGUUAGCCACCUGGGGAGUACGUUCGCAAGAAUGAA
rnacentral:rRNA from 1 species